GAAUUCGCCCUUAGAGUUUGAUCCUGGCUCAGGACGAACGCUGGCGGCGUGCCUAACACAUGCAAGUCGAACGGAGAUGUUUAUUUCGGUAGAUAUCUUAGUGGCGCACGGGUGAGUAACGCGUGAAUAACCUGACCCGAAGAGGGGGAUAACACCUGGAAACAAGUGUUAAUACCGCAUAAGACCACGGACCGGCAUCGGUCAGAGGUCAAAGGAGGAAUCCGCUUUGGGAGGGGUUCGCGUCCCAUUAGGUAGUUGGUGAGGUAACGGCCCACCAAGGCAACGAUCGGUAGCCGGACUGAGAGGUUGAACGGCCACAUUGGGACUGAGACACGGCCCAGACUCCUACGGGAGGCAGCAGUGGGGAAUAUUGCACAAUGGGGGAAACCCUGAUGCAGCGACGCCGCGUGGAGGAAGAAGGUCUUCGGAUUGUAAACUCCUGUUGUUGGGGAAGAUAAUGACGGUACCCAACAAGGAAGUGACGGCUAACUACGUGCCAGCAGCCGCGGUAAAACGUAGGUCACAAGCGUUGUCCGGAAUUACUGGGUGUAAAGGGAGCGCAGGCGGGAAGACAAGUUGGAAGUGAAAUCUAUGGGCUCAACCCAUAAACUGCUUUCAAAACUGUUUUUCUUGAGUAGUGCAGAGGUAGGCGGAAUUCCCGGUGUAGCGGUGGAAUGCGUAGAUAUCGGGAGGAACACCAGUGGCGAAGGCGGCCUACUGGGCACCAACUGACGCUGAGGCUCGAAAGUGUGGGUAGCAAACAGGAUUAGAUACCCUGGUAGUCCACACCGUAAACGAUGAUUACUAGGUGUUGGAGGAUUGACCCCUUCAGUGCCGCAGUUAACACAAUAAGUAAUCCACCUGGGGAGUACGACCGCAAGGUUGAAACUCAAAGGAAUUGACGGGGGCCCGCACAAGCAGUGGAGUAUGUGGUUUAAUUCGACGCAACGCGAAGAACCUUACCAAGUCUUGACAUCCCUUGACAGACAUAGAAAUAUGUAAUCUCUUCGGAGCAAGGAGACAGGUGGUGCAUGGUUGUCGUCAGCUCGUGUCGUGAGAUGUUGGGUUAAGUCCCGCAACGAGCGCAACCCUUAUGGUCAGUUACUACGCAAGAGGACUCUGGCCAGACUGCCGUUGACAAAACGGAGGAAGGUGGGGAUGACGUCAAAUCAUCAUGCCCUUUAUGACUUGGGCUACACACGUACUACAAUGGCGUUAAACAAAGAGAAGCAAGACCGCAAGGUGGAGCAAAACUCAGAAACAACGUCCCAGUUCGGACUGCAGGCUGCAACUCGCCUGCACGAAGUCGGAAUUGCUAGUAAUCGUGGAUCAGCAUGCCACGGUGAAUACGUUCCCGGGCCUUGCACACACCGCCCGUCA
rnacentral:rRNA from 1 species